CUGGUACUUCCCCUGCCCCCCCUCUCAUCGUGCUGCUUGAUGCGAUCUGUGUUGUACUGCUGUAUGAACCAGCUGUUGCUUAUCCCAUCGUUGUUGCAUUGCUGUCGAGUUAGCUUCUCAUGCCACUGCUGCAGCUGUUUGCUGCCUCAUGAUUUUGCAUGAUGAGUUGAAUUAGAAGCUGCUUAUCUAUGAAUCGUUACUAAUUCAAUAAUACCAAUGGUGUGGUGGUGCAUUAAUCAACAGUAAAUACAUAGACGUAUGCAAGGGUUUUUCCUUUGCUAUCAUCCCAACUUAACACAUGAAGAUUGCAAAGAACAUUCCUCUUGGAUGCCCUGUGAACACAUCCACUACUAGUCAAGUCAAGCUGUGUAUGCAUAUCAAAUUUCUGCAAUGUGAACAUAUCCCCCUGCUGAUUGAUUAUUCUGGUGGUGCAUAUCCCCCUGCUGAUUGAUUAUUCUGGGGCUACAAGUGAUGCAUACCCCCCUGCUGUGAACACAUCCAGUCCAUACGUAUGGUGACUGCUGAUUGAUUAUUUUUGUUUUCCUGUGAAUCCCAUCUUUAUUGACUAGCAGCACUACACUAAGUAUUACAAAUCCGCCGUGCAUACAAUCCAGUCAUAUCAACAUGUAGUUGCUUUGUAUAUCCUGUAAAUAAUUUCUUUGCACGCCCAUUCUACCAUGUCAAUGAUGAUGAAUUAAUUAUGAUUUCUGCCAAUGGAUGGAUUGACAUGAUGCGACGGACCUGCUGCCGGCUGUCUUCCCCGACCACUUAUGUGAGCUGCCCCUGCCGCUGACCCUCCUCAACUUUGCCCGUUGCUCGUUGUUGCUGCUGGUGAGACAAUUUCCUUGAUCUGUCGCUUCUUCCUCUUGUCAACUACAUAUGUGAUGAUUCCGUAACUGCUCUAGUUUAGGUGUAGCUGCAACUACAGUAUUUUGAUCUGUUGCCGGCUUCAUAUGUUAGCUUCACAUUUUGAUCUGUUGAACAGUCCCAGAUUAUGUCAAUUUGUUACCAACUAGUUAGAGUUAAAGCAACUCAUUUGGCUUUUGCUCACUGUUUUUACUGUCCUGUGCUGCUCAUACUGUAUGUACAACAUGUUGCUAAACUGAAAAUGCUAUUUGCUUCACAUUUUUGUUUGUUGAACUGUCCCAGAUUAUUUCAAUUAAUGUAAACCUAUGAGUUAAAUAAAUUGUAUGGGAGGCAUUGACAUAAGUGCUCUAGACCUGCUCUGCUCCUGUUCAGAGGCAUCUUGUAUUCUUUUUUGUAAAAUCUCCUAUCGUAAGCGAAAAAGCUUCAGGCAUUGAGCCAUUGUAUUGUGUUCUUAAAAUAAGUUUUUUGUUUUGUCCCUUGCAUAGCUAAUUUGCAUUUUGCUGUGAGAUGGCAAGUGAUAUAUCCACCUUUUGCUACGAUAUGACAACUAAUUUAUCCACCUUUUGUUGUGAGAUGGCAACUAAUUUGCUUUUUUACUAGCUGUUUUAUUUGCUUGCUUGGUUGCCCUGAACUUCAGUUUUUAUUUGCUUGCUUCUUAGUCUCUCUCCCUCCCUGCAGGUGCCACCGGAUGCAAGGGUGGAGCUUGCGCCUCCUUGCUGAAGCCUCUUUCUCUACUCCAGUUUAUGUUGCUUCCGUUGCUGCGAAUGUGGUUAAGAUGGUGUUCUACACCAGCUUCUUAUGUUGCAUGUGAAUGGGGUGAUAGAACUGAAAUGAGCAGAUCACUAUAUGACUAAGAAAAUCAGAAAGUACAUGUAGGAAAAUAUCAUAGCUCUUACUCACAUUGCCAAAAUAACAUGUACUUCUAGCAAUUGUGCCAAAGCAUUAGCAUUGCCUGUUUGAGAGCUUGCUGCCAGUUACUUGCUACUGCUUUGACUGAUACUUGUUGUUUGGUGCUAAUUAUACCUCUUGCUAGUUCUACUCUGAUUCAUGUUUGCAUGUUGGCUAGAAAUUACCCUGAUUAUACAUUUUUUUUUGUUACACUAUACAUUAAUGUAUUAUGUUAUUAUUUGUGUGCAUGAUGCUUUGAGCCUAUUUUUCCCUUUCCUCCUUGAUUGAUCAAUUCAUGUAAUGUUAUGUUCUUGUAGGAAGGCAAGUUGUCGCAUCUGAUCACAUUAGAGGGAACAAUGAAGUUUGUACUACUUGUACGAGUUGAACAAUGUUAUGUUCUUAUAGGACAGUACUAGAUGUGCUAAUACAAGUUCAACAAUGUGAUGUAGAAAGUUAAGGCAAAUUGUGUAGAUAAUGUAUUCGUGUGUAACUAAAUGUUGUAUUCCCUGUGUAAACGGUGCUUUAAAUGACAUGAUGAUAUUGAAAUUGUGUACAAGCUACUUGAUAUGGGUUGAAUAUGACAGAAAAUAGUACUGGGCCUGAAUCGGCCAUGGCCCAAACAAAGUUGAAUUGGAGUUGUUUAUUUAAUGGAAAAAACUUGUUAGAGAAGGGAAAAAAU
rnacentral:lncRNA from 1 species